GCUGGGCAUGGUGGCUCAGGCCUGUAAUCCCAGUGGCUUGGGAGGCUGAGGCAGGAGAAUUGAGAGUUCAAAGCUAGCCUCAACAACGGUGAGGUGCUAAGCAACUCAGUGAGACCCUGUCUCUA
rnacentral:sRNA from 1 species